CGUUGGAAGGGUGGGGAAAUUCCAGAUAAGAUUGGAACAGUCAGAUGUACUGCGGCAGUGUGCCUAGAACCCGGCCGUGAAUACCUGCUGUGGGGAAAGUUGGAUAAGUCUACUGCUAUUUCGCCAGGAGAACCUGAAGAAGCUCAUGGAGAUCUAUGAGAUGCUGGGAUGCGAGGAGGACAUUGUUAACCCGUCCAACGAGCUCAUUAAAGAAGGACAGAUCCUAAAGCUGGCCGCCAGAAACACCUCGUCCAUGGAGAGAUACCUCUUCCUGUUUAACAACAUGUUGCUGUA